rnacentral:rRNA from 1 species
CUACGGGCCGCUGCAGUGAGGAAUAUUGCACAAUGGGGGGAACCCUGAUGCAGCAACGCCGCGUGGAGGAUGACGCAUUUCGGUGUGUAAACUCCUUUUAUCUGUCAAGAAAAUGACGGUAGCAUAUGAAUAAGCACCGGCUAACUCCGUGCCAGCAGCCGCGGUAAUACGGAGGGUGCAAGCGUUACUCGGAAUCACUGGGCGUAAAGGACGCGUAGGCGGGUUGGAAAGUCAGGUGUGAAAUCCUACAGCUUAACUGUAGAACUGCACUUGAAACUUCUAAUCUAGAGUAUGGGAGGGGGAGAUGGAAUUAGUGGUGUAGGGGUAAGAUCCGUAGAUAUCACUAGGAGUACCUAAAGCGAAGGCGAUCUCCUGGAACAUUACUGACGCUAAGGCGUGAAAGCGUGGGGAGCAAACAGGAUUAGAUACCCUUGUAGUC